rnacentral:rRNA from 1 species
CCUACGGGUGGCAGCAGUGAGGAAUAUUGGUCAAUGGACGAGAGUCUGAACCAGCACAGUAGCGUGAAGGAUGAAUGCCCUAUGGGUUGAAAACUUCUUUUAUAUGGGAAUAAAAUGUUCCACGUGUGGGCUUUUGUAUGUACCAUAUGAAUAAUGAUAGGCUAACUCCGUGCCAGCAGCCGGUGUAAUACUGAGGAUCCGAGCGUUAUCCGGAUUUAUUGGGUUUAAAGGGAGCGUAGGUGGAUUGUUAAGUCAGUUGUGAAAGUUUGCGGCUCAACCGUAAAAUUGCAGUUGAAACUGGCAGUCUUGAGGACAGUAGAGGUGGGCGGAAUUCGUGGUGUAGCGGUGAAAGGCUUAGAUAUCACGAAGAACUCCGAUUGCGAAGGCAGCUCACUGGACUGCAACUGACACUGAGGCUCGAAAGUGUGGGUAUCAAACAGGAGUAGAUACCCUGGUAGUC